rnacentral:rRNA from 1 species
CACGUAGGGGGCAAGCGUGGUCCGGAUUUAUUGGGCGUAAAGAGCUCGUAGGCGGUUCGGUAAGUCAGGUGUGAAACCUCCAGGCUCAACCUGGAGACGCCACCUGAUACUGCUGUGACUCGAGUCCGGUAGGGGAGCGUGGAAUUCCUGGUGUAGCGGUGAAAUGCGCAGAUAUCAGGAGGAACACCGGUGGCGAAGGCGGGUCUCUGGGCCGAUACUGACGCUGAGGAGCGAAAGCAUGGGUAGCGAACAGG